rnacentral:lncRNA from 10 species
UGCCUGCCUGCUCCAGAGAAGCAGCCUUUGUUCCUCAGUUCAUCGCAACACUCAGCCUGUCAGUCAGGUUGUGGGAUCCCUCCUAUCCAGGAACUGUAUGCUGUUGUCCCGGUUCUGACACUUUCCCUCUGAGUCCUUGGACACCUUACCUAACCUCUUGGAAGCUCCUGUCUGUGAAGGGUGUGCACAGAGAGCUUCGGUAGCCUGCGAAGCAGCCAUUUUCACUUCCACGGAGCAGAUGCUGGCCUGGGUGCUGGAAUAUGGAAAUGAGGAAGAUCCUGCCUGAGGAUUUCAUGACAGUGCUGCGAUUACCGACGUGAGCCACUGUGCCCAGCCUCACUUUAAAAAAAAAAAAAGGUUAUGAAGCAUCUCAACACAAGACCUCCUUUGCUCAUCACAACCACCCAGUGAAGCAGGCAAGACAACAGAAACUCCCCACCUGUGAUAGAUGUGAGGCCUGAAGUCUCCCACAUACCCACGGCAGAUGCAACGCACAGCGGUGACCAAUGGUGAAGGAUCUAAAACCUGAAAAGAGGCCAAAUGAUUCCUCAAAACCACGCAAGUACGAAGUAGCAGAGCGGAUCUCAAAUCCAGAGCACUGCGUGUUUUGAAAUAUACAAAUAGUGGGAAACGAAAUCUUUGUUCUGGAUGCAGUUAUAAUUUGGAAAGCGAGGAAAUAAAUUAUAACAAGGGGAAAAAACAGAAUACUACUAAAGUCAUGCCGUGUGACUUCUGAAGCUAGCUCCUAAGAAGUCCUUGCAGCUUCUGCCUGCGACUCUUAGAACACUUGCUUUGAAGGAUGCCAGAUGCUGUCUUAAAAGUCUGAGCACUCUGAAACCAUCAUGCUGUGAGGAAGCCCAAGCUAACCACAUGGGCAAAAAAGAUGCCCUCUGACUGCCACCAUUUGAGACACUCUAAUUAAGAACUGCCUCAUUGAGCCCAUGAGGCCCUGUGAAUGAUAAUAAUAAAUUGUUUUUAACCACUAUGUUUUUGGAUUUGUUAUAAGUUUAUAGAUAACAAGAAAAAGUUAUAUUAGCAUGGUAAUAAAAUUAUGGAUAUGUGUAAGUUUGGUGUUUUGUUUCUUUUUUUUUUUUACACUAAGCCUAUAUUACUGUUGUAAUUUAGGAAAUCACUUGUUUUCCUCCAGCACUUCAAUGUAAGAGUGGCACUACUUAGAAUGUACUUCUUAAGAUAUGGCU